rnacentral:misc_RNA from 1 species
GUGCGCAGGCUGCACCUGAACUGUAAUGUGUUGGUCUGUUAUAGCGCCCUCUUUCAUGUCAUUUAGGCAAUUUUUGACCGGGAAAAUUUGACUGGACCAGCUGAGCGACGUUUUUGCAAGUUUUAUAACUGCUUGUUAAAAGAUUUGACUUGACUUUUACGGUAAAAGUCAGCAUAAGGCACCAACACAGUGAAGCAUGUAAUCAGAAGUAGCAGGCAUCAUGACAGACCAAGACAAUCUCACCCAGUCGCCAGCCUGGAAGAAGCCCUCGGAUGUAAUGAGAGUCCGUCUGAAGAAAAGACGGUCUAGCAGCCUAGGGAACCCUCAGUUAGUGGCCGCCAAAAUUGGGACAUGCGAGCGAGUAUCCAGCAGUGAAGAGGACACCAACCACCGCCCUGGCAAGAGGCGGAACCCCUUUGGCCAAGAUGGUACACCCCCUGUGCGAUGGAGAGGCUCGCAAAACGAUGCUGAAGAGGAGAAGGAAGACAGAAGAUCAGGUGGAGAAGAAUGUCCCAUCGCUGGGCAAGAGGAAGAUGCAGUGGGUGCAGCUAGAGCAGAAAGUGGAGGGGGGAGAAGCAUUAGCCUUUUGGAGGCUUUGGACUCAGGAGACGAGGCAGUGUUCUUAGAGGGCUCUGAGGGUGGAAAGGCACCAGUGACAGAGUACCAGCAAGCGUUGAGUGUUAACAUCUCCGGGAAGAGAGAAAAACAAAAGGACCAGACUGAAACAGGAGAAGACCCAAAUACUGAGACAUUGAGCUGCGAAUGCCUGCCUCUUGAUUGGAGCAUCAAGUCCAGGGUCAGGUUCACCUCCUCGCAUCCAUUCAGCUGGAGUACCCCUCUCAAGACUACAGAGGAGGCUAAUGGCAUUAGCUCCUUUGUUAGGUGUGAUAACCUAACCGGCGAACAGCGCAAAUCAUCUGAGAGUGACUCUGCCAGGCACAGCCAUUGGAAGGCGAGACUCCAGCAGUCUCUCAUGAUGUGGAGUCAUCCUCAACUUCCAUGGGUGAAGCUGUUUCCAAGAAUCAUGCUCCGAUCACAGUCCACCAGCACGUCUUUUGCUGCAUUUGAUGAAGCCAUUCAAAAAGAACUGAUAGCCAGUUGGUCUGAAAGCUUUCGCUCAGUGUUCUAUCUCCUGCGGUCUGGCCACUGUCCCUACUUCUACCUGCUAGCUCAUCAGUAUACCGUACUCUUUAGAGCAGCUGGGGUGGGAGGAGUCAGUCAUAUCCACGCCCUAUUUAACCCCACCACAAAAGGUCUCAGAGAAGCAUUCAAAGAAGAAGGUAUUGAAUUCAGCAUGCCUCUAGCCAAGAUCGAGGAUCCACAAAGCAAAUCAAGAUCUGACUUGGAAGACGCAUUCAGAGAGCAGUACAAGGAACCUUCAGAAACAGAGAGUGGAAAUCUUAACCCGAUUGAGACGGAGGUUGACCAGGUCCUUGCAGAUGAUGAGGAUAGAGACCUCGAGGAGGAGGAGCUAGGCUUAAGUCCAAAUGACGAUGCUGCGUCGUCAUGGUUACAGAGCAUGGGUCUAGACAGGCAGCACUUCCCCACUCUGGAACCUAGCAAGGUCAACUUCCAACGGGAUCACUUGAUGAGAAUUGACAACCGACCUGAGUCACUGGUUCUGGUCCAAGGAUCCGACAUCCAGGCGCUGUACAAUUUCCUUCUCAACACGCGGACGACGGUGGCAGCCACUGGUAGCACAGCAGGGAUACCACCCACCUUGAUGGCUCCUGUGGCAUUCCUGGGAGCCAGUCUGAGUAGCUUCAAGUGGAGACCAGGCGUGGUGAAGCAAGCGGUUGGUAACAAGCUCCAGGAAUCCUACAGCUUAGAGAUCACCGGUCCCCUGCUGCCUCACAACGUCUUCAGCAUCUGUCAGCUCCUUGAGGAGUCCCAAGGAGCUGACUUUGGUGGCACUUUCAACAGCCACGAGCCGACCGUGCCAUUCACUCUGGUUGAUGCGCAGAACAAUGCCCGAGAUGCAAAGACCGAAAGACAGGAGCAUUUACAGGGAAACAGUCGAGCAUGGGAGAGUCUGUCCAACCACUUGAGGAUGCAGGUAGAGCACGGACAGACUGGUAUCUUGAAGGAGUUCACCUUUAAUGGAUUGUACCAGUGGUGGAAACAGUGACAUAAAGGCGGACCCUCUCUUCCUGGUUUCCAACAGAACAAGAAGCUAGAAUCUGAACUCAUGGCUGAAGUGAAAUGAAUCGGUUUGGACGUUGGGAAUAACUGUGUCUGCCUGGGCUUACCACUGAAUGGGUUAUCUCCACCAAAG